GAUGAACGCUGGCGGCGUGCCUAACACAUGCAAGUCGAGCGAAGCACUUACUGAAGAUUUCUUCGGAAUGACGAAGUUUGUGACGGAGCGGCGGACGGGUGAGUAACGCGGGGGCAACCUGCACUGUACAGGGGGAUAGCAGGUAGAAAUGACUGCUAAUACCGCAGAAGCCCACAGCUUCGCAUGAAGCAGUGGGAAAAACUCCGGUGUUAAAGGAUGGGCCCGCGUCUGAUUAGCUAGUCGGGAAGGUAACGGCUUACCAAGGCGACGAUCAGUAGCCGACCUGAGAGGGUGACCGGCCACAUUGGGACUGAGACACGGCCCAAACUCCUACGGGAGGCAGCAGUGGGGAAUAUUGCACAAUGGGGGAAACCCUGAUGCAGCGACGCCGCGUGAGCGAUGAAGUAUUUCGGUAUGUAAAGCUCUAUCAGAAGGGAAGAAAGUGACGGUACCUGACUAAGAAGCCCCGGCUAACUACGUG
rnacentral:rRNA from 1 species